rnacentral:rRNA from 1 species
GACGAACGCUGGCGGCGUGCUUAACACAUGCAAGUCGAACGGAGGAUUUAUUUCGGUAAAUCCUUAGUGGCGAACGGGUGAGUAACGCGUGGGCAAUCUGCCCUUCAGAUGGGGACAACAUCCCGAAAGGGGUGCUAAUACCGAAUACGAUCACGCUGCCGCAUGGCGGUGUGAUGAAAGAUGGCCUCUAUUUAUAAGCUAUCGCUGAAGGAUGAGCCUGCGUCUGAUUAGCUAGUUGGUGGGGUAACGGCCUACCAAGGCGAUGAUCAGUAGCCGGUCUGCGAGGAUGAACGGCCACAUUGGGACUGAGACACGGCCCAAACUCCUACGGGAGGCAGCAGUGGGGAAUAUUCCGCAAUGGACGAAAGUCUGACGGAGCAACGCCGCGUGAGUGAUGAAGGUUUUCGGACUGUAAAGCUCUGUUGUUUAGGACGAAAGUGCCUGUUGCGAACAGUUACAGGUAUUGACGGUACUGAACGAGGAAGCCACGGCUAACUACGUGCCAGCCGCCGCGGUAA